AAGUCGUAACAAGGUUUCCGUAGGUGAACCUGCGGAAGGAUCAUUAACAAAAUGAAACCCCAACCAACCUUGUGUGCAUUGUUUUUUUUUAAAAAAAAUUUUCUUGAAGGAAUUCUUGAAAAUAUUAUAUUAAUCGACUCUUCUUUGAACCUGAACUAAAUUAUUUUUUUGAUAUAACAAAAAAAAUUUAAACAACUUUCAACAACGGAUCUCUUGGCUCUC
rnacentral:misc_RNA from 1 species